UACGUAGGGUGCAAGCGUUAAUCGGAAUUACUGGGCGUAAAGCGUGCGCAGGCGGUUGUGCAAGACCGAUGUGAAAUCCCCGGGCUUAACCUGGGAAUGGCAUUGGUGACUGCACGGCUAGAGUGUGUCAGAGGGGGGUAGAAUUCCACGUGUAGCAGUGAAAUGCGUAGAGAUGUGGAGGAAUACCGAUGGCGAAGGCAAUCCCCUGGGCCUGCACUGACGCUCAUGCACGAAAGCGUGGGGAGCAAACAGG
rnacentral:rRNA from 1 species